GACGAACGCUGGCGGCGUGCCUAAUACAUGCAAGUUGAGCGAUGAAGAUUGGUGCUUGCACCAAUUUGAAGAGCAGCGAACGGGUGAGUAACGCGUGGGGAAUCUGCCUUUGAGCGGGGGACAACAUUUGGAAACGAAUGCUAAUACCGCAUAACAACUUUAAACAUAAGUUUUAAGUUUGAAAGAUGCAAUUGCAUCACUCAAAGAUGAUCCCGCGUUGUAUUAGCUAGUUGGUGAGGUAAAGGCUCACCAAGGCGAUGAUACAUAGCCGACCUGAGAGGGUGAUCGGCCACAUUGGGACUGAGACACGGCCCAAACCCCUACGGGAGGCAGCAGUAGGGAAUCUUCGGCAAUGGACGAAAGUCUGACCGAGCAACGCCGCGUGAGUGAAGAAGGUUGUCGGAUCGUAAAACUCUGUUGGUAGAGAAGAACGUUGGUGAGAGUGGAAAGCUCAUCAAGUGACGGUAACUACCCAGAAAGGGACGGCUAACUACGUG
rnacentral:rRNA from 1 species